AAAAGUACUUUGAAGAGAGAGUAAACAGUGCGUGAAACCGCUCAGAGGUAAACGGGUGGAAUUGAACUGCAAGCUUUGAGGAUUCAGCUGGUGAGUGUGGUUUGGGCUUGGUCAAGUCGGUUGGACAUUGAGGUCUGUGUAGCAGCAGGUCUCUGCCCCCGGGCAGGGAUGCGCGAUACACUUAUCAAGUGUUGUGCGCCUCUUUGUUUAUCGGGCCAGCUUGCCAGUGCACUUUCUCAGAGUGUUCACCACGACCGGCACUGCUGUCUGACUGAUGUGGUUAAACCGGACUUACAGAGCACUUGUGGCUUUGUAUGGCCGGGAAGGCAGGUAGCUCGUUGGCUAGCUUGUGGUUCACCGCAGGCGUUGUUUUCGAGUGUAAUUCGCUGACCACGAUAGUUCUGUGCAGUGUGUCGGAGACGGCGGCUUGUGGUGCGUGCAUGCGUGCCGGUUCUGCUGGCGUGUUCGGGUUUGGUUGCCAUGUUGCUUGUGAAUGCAGGCCUGGUGAUGGCUCGGAUUCGUUCAGUUGGCGGUUGCGUAUGCGGUGCCGUAAAGGGCCAACAGUCUGUGGUGUAGUGGUAGAUUAUCCACCUGA
rnacentral:rRNA from 2 species